rnacentral:rRNA from 1 species
GAUGAACGCUGGCGGCGUGCCUAACACAUGCAAGUCGAGCGAUUCUCUUCGGAGAAGAGCGGCGGACGGGUGAGUAACGCGUGGGUAACCUGCCCUGUACACACGGAUAACAUACCGAAAGGUAUGCUAAUACGAGAUAAUAUGCUUUUGUCGCAUGGUAGAAGUAUCAAAGCUCCGGCGGUACAGGAUGGACCCGCGUCUGAUUAGCUAGUUGGUAAGGUAACGGCUUACCAAGGCGACGAUCAGUAGCCGACCUGAGAGGGUGAUCGGCCACAUUGGAACUGAGACACGGUCCAAACUCCUACGGGAGGCAGCAGUGGGGAAUAUUGCACAAUGGGCGAAAGCCUGAUGCAGCAACGCCGCGUGAGCGAUGAAGGCCUUCGGGUCGUAAAGCUCUGUCCUCAAGGAAGAUAAUGACGGUACUUGAGGAGGAAGCCCCGGCUAACUACGUGCCAGCAGCCGCGGUAAUACGUAGGGGGCUAGCGUUAUCCGGAAUUACUGGGCGUAAAGGGUGCGUAGGUGGUUUCUUAAGUCAGAGGUGAAAGGCUACGGCUCAACCGUAGUAAGCCUUUGAAACUGGGAAACUUGAGUGCAGGAGAGGAGAGUGGAAUUCCUAGUGUAGCGGUGAAAUGCGUAGAUAUUAGGAGGAACACCAGUUGCGAAGGCGGCUCUCUGGACUGUAACUGACACUGAGGCACGAAAGCGUGGGGAGCAAACAGGAUUAGAUACCCUGGUAGUCCACGCCGUAAACGAUGAGUACUAGCUGUCGGAGGUUACCCCCUUCGGUGGCGCAGCUAACGCAUUAAGUACUCCGCCUGGGAAGUACGCUCGCAAGAGUGAAACUCAAAGGAAUUGACGGGGACCUGCACAAGUAGCGGAGCAUGUGGUUUAAUUCGAAGCAACGCGAAGAACCUUACCUAAGCUUGACAUCCUUUUGACCGAUGCCUAAUCGCAUUUUUCCCUUCGGGGACAGAAGUGACAGGUGGUGCAUGGUUGUCGUCAGCUCGUGUCGUGAGAUGUUGGGUUAAGUCCCGCAACGAGCGCAACCCUUGCCUUUAGUUGCCAGCAUUAAGAUGGGCACUCUAGAGGGACUGCCAGGGAUAACCUGGAGGAAGGUGGGGAUGACGUCAAAUCAUCAUGCCCCUUAUGCUUAGGGCUACACACGUGCUACAAUGGGUGGUACAGAGGGCAGCCAAGUCGUGAGGCGGAGCUAAUCCCUUAAAGCCAUUCUCAGUUCGGAUUGUAGGCUGAAACUCGCCUACAUGAAGCUGGAGUUACUAGUAAUCGCAGAUCAGAAUGCUGCGGUGAAUGCGUUCCCGGGUCUUGUACACACCGCCCGUCACACCACGGGAGUUGGGGGCGCCCGAAGCCGGAUUGCUAACCUUUUGGAAGCGUCCGUCGAAGGUGAAAUCAAUAACUGGGGUG